AAGUCGUAACAAGGUUUCCGUAGGUGAACCUGCGGAAGGAUCAUUACAAGAGUAUUUCAGUUUGGCUUUAUGCCCUCUGAAAAUCUCCACCCUUUGUUUACAUUACCUUUGUUGUUGCCUCGGUGGGUGCUUUCUAGCACCUGCCGGCAGACACCUUCAAAAACCCUUGAUUUAAUACUAUAGUCAGAGCUGUAACAAGCAAAAGAUUAAUAAAUCAAAACUUUCAACAACGGAUCUCUUGGUUCUG
rnacentral:misc_RNA from 1 species